rnacentral:lncRNA from 1 species
GGAUAAACUUUUCAAACUUGGGUUUCGGAGCUCUAAUGGAUUCCCAGAGAGAUCAAGUAUCACCAGGUUUGAAAGCUGUAGAACUUCAUAUGGAAUUUGACCUGUAAAGCCAGACGAGGAGAGGUCCAACCGUGAUAGCCUUGUAAGGUUAGCAAUUGCAGAAGGGAUUUCAGAGCCGUUGAAGUCAUUGUCACAAAGGCUGAGCCUUCUAAGGUGAUGGAGCUGGAAAACUUCAAUAGGAAAUGAACCAUGCAAUUCACAAGCGUCAAGAGAGAGAUAUGUUAAAGCAGAUAAAUUUGCCAAACUCUGAGGGAUUGUCGACGAUACAUUUACCAUGUAAAGAUCAAGAUGCUUGAGGUUCAAUAACCUCUCGGAUAAACUUUUCAAGCUUGGGUUUCGGAGCUCUAAUCGAUUCCUAGAGAGAUCAAGUAUCACCAGGUUUGAAAGCAAUAGAACUUCAUAUGGAAUUUGACCUGUAAAGCCAGACCAGGAGAGGUCCAACCGUGAUAGCCUUGUAAGGUUACCAAUUGCAGAAGGGAUUUCAGAGCGAUUGAAGUUAUUGUCCGAAAGGUUGAGCCUUCUAAGGUGAUGGAGCUGGAAAAGGCUGUUGUUGGAGUUGAUAGAGCCAUAAAGGAAACUACUGCUGAGAUCAAGUCCAAUAACGUGACCAGUGUUAUCAUCGCACUCAAUUCCAUCCCAAGAGCAGCAAUCCCCACCGACCUGUCCUUCAAGU